GGCCUGGUGGUGUAGUUGGUAACACCCCUGCCGUCCUUGGACAACAAAGGUUUAAGGUUAAGCGGGAGUUCCUCAUUCAAUUCGAGGUCGGGUCA